CCGGAAUUAUUGGGCGUAAAGAGUCCGUAGGUUGUUAUCAAAGCCUAUUGUUAAAUCUCAAGGCUUCACCUUGAAUCUGCAGUAGGAACCUGAUAACUUGAGUGCGGUAGGAGUAGGGGGAAUUCCCGGUGUAGCGGUGAAAUGCGUAGAUAUCGGGAAGAACACCGGAGGCGAAAGCGCCCUACUGGGCCGACACUGACACUAAGGGACGAAAGCUAGGGGAGCAAAUGGGAUUAGAUACCCCAGUAGUCCUAGCCGUAAACGAUGGGCACUACGUGUGGGGAAAACUUAGUUUUUUCUGUGCGAUAGCUAACGCGUUAAGUGCCCCGCCUGGGGAGUACGCUCGCAAGGGUGAAACUCAAAGGAAUUGACGGGGGCCCACACAAGCGGUGGAGCAUGUGGUUUAAUUCGAUUCAACGCGAAGAACCUUACCAGGGUUUGACAUACCAGGAAGGUCCUUUAAACGGGACUGUGCCUUCGGGAAUCUGGAUACAGGUGGUGCAUGGCUGUCGUCAGCUCGUG
rnacentral:rRNA from 14 species